rnacentral:rRNA from 1 species
CCUACGGGUGGCAGCAGUAAGGGAUAUUGGUCAAUGGGGGAAACCCUGAACCAGCAACUCCGCGUGUGGGAAGACGGUUUUCGGAUUGUAAACCUCUGUCCUCUGUGAAGAUGAUGACGGUAGCAGAGGAGGAAGCUCCUGCUAACUACGUGCGAGAAGCCGCGGUAAUACGUAGGGGGCGAGCGUUGUCCGGAUUUACUGGGGGUAAGGGUUGAGUAGGCGGCUUGGCAAGUCAGUAGUGAAAUCCACGGGCUUAACCCAUGAACUGCUAUUGAAACUGUCGGGCUUGAGUGCAGUAGAGGUAGGCGGAAUUCCAGGUGUAGCGGUGAAAUGCGUAGAGAUGGGGAGGAACACCAGUGGCGAAGGCGGCCUACUGGGAUUUAACUGACGCUGAGGCACGAAAGCGUGGGUAGCAAACAGGAUUAGAUACCCCAGUAGUC